CGCGAACCCUGCACAACCCCUCGUGCCCUCCUCUCCCUCUCUCUCUCUCUCUCUCUCUCAGGAACCCUAGCACUCCACUCCUCCCUUGCCGCCGCCACCUCCGGCGCUCGGUCCUGGCGACCUCAGGCGGGAAUCGAAGACCGCUGUCCGGCGAGAUCCGGCCCGCGCGGCGAGAUCCAUCUCUCUCUCACACAUGAGAAGGAAAAUCCCCCGCCCCAUUCUCACGACUCAUCUGCCCCUCCCUCGAUCCCCUUCCUUCCUGAGGACGCACGCGCCGCCCCUCCCCGAUCCACAUCUCCCCUCGCCCUCCCACAUCGUGCCGCCAUCCACCUCGUCGCCUCCCAGAUGGUUGCAGGCGAUUGAAUCCGGUUCGGGUCCAUGGCAUCCACGACCGUGGCAGUGCUCGCGGUGACGGACGAGCUGGACCUGCCGCUCCACACGGUGGGGGACCUGGCGGCCGUCGCCGGCGUCUCGCAGGAGGAGGUCGUCGUCAUCACGUAGUGCACCUCGCUCGGGGGCUGGCGUUAUGGCGGCUGUGUACAACGAUGACCACAAGUUCUCCCGUGAUUUGCCUCCAUCUCCUACUCCUAGCUCCCUCUUUUUUGCUCCUAUAGCAGUAGAAGGCUUUAAAUGUGGUGCAUGCAUGAGGAUCAAUCAUGUUGACUGCGUGACAAUCAUGUUUCUCAUCAUUGUAAUUUUUGGUAGUAACUCUGAUAGGCCACUACACUUUCCAAAUUCCAAUGCUCGCCUGUUGGUCGUCCCCAAGUUUUCACUACCCUGAGCCUUCGAGUACAAGAGGCUGCUGCUUGACUAUAACAGCAAAAAUGUGCAAUAUUGGAUUAAUGAUUGAAGUGCAUUAGCGGUUUAUCUUCUUCUUCACAAGUCUGUUUGCAAUGGAUGUACAUAACUGUCAUUUUUACCUCUUGCAUAUUUAACAUACAUGACAAUAGCUGUAGGUAUUGAAAUAUAUGUGAAGGUAGAAGCUAUCGUUGCUGCCUUGUGGGUCGUAAUUCUUUCUCUCUAGACGCGUAUACUGUGUGAUGUAUCGCUCAUGCUCAUAUUCUGUACCAAGAUAGUCCUAAUAUCCGUAGGGUUGUAGACUGAUUUCCCCUUGAAAAAGCUAUGCUUCUUUCCUUGGAUGAUAAGCAUGUUCGGCAGCUAUGUGGAAUCCUUAAGAUAAAUGGUCUUUAGUUUCUUUUGGUGCAUCUGCGUGCACAUAACAGUUUGUUAGUUUCACUUUAUAUAAUGAAGAAAAUAUGCUGAUGUCAUUUGUUUAUUAUUAUCUAUCAUCUGUAGAUUGAUUUUUAGGCCAUCAGUACUUGUAUGUAUGAUUUCUAGUCUCUUGAAUGAAUAAUUUUUCUUUAGGUGACAUGUGUCUUGUGUUACUACAUACAUCUAUCGUGAAGUACAUGGUUCCAGAACUAUGGUAACCCGCAGUUUGCUCUACUGGUGAUAGUAGGAUGAUGGAAACAUCACUACUGAAUGUAGUCCCUGUUUCUUCAACUAAUCAUCAUGUACUAGAGUUUCUCUUCUUCUUGCUACUGUUUGGUUUUUGACGUCACUAGCUUGUACUAAAACGUGCAGACUUUACCCCUUGCUAGAUCCUUCGAUGGAGGUGACCCAUGUGAUGGUGAUUCGCUCCAGCAGUUCCGGUUCCGGCUAUGGUGGUGCUACACUGCUACUGCACCUAUGAUGGCUACGCAUUGGUAGGCUCGGCUGCCUCCCUUGGCUGUCGCUGUGAUGGUGAAGCUCAGCCUAGGCUACAAUCACUUCCGAUGAGCUCCUUGGGUCCCCUUCUACCCCUCCUACUCGCUCCAUGAUUAUUUGCUUUGCCUUUGUGAGGUGUAAUUGUUUAAUUUUUGUCAUAGUCGAGCAUUGGAUGAUAUCAUGAGGGACAUUGUUCAUGGAUAUGCCAACCUACAGCUUGUUGUACUAGUUAUAGUAGGAUAAUGCAAGUUUUGACAAUCCAUACAUAUCCCUACAUGUUAGUGUCUCCCCGUGUAAGUAUGAAUUCUGGUGAUGCCUUCAUCUAUGAUGAUGCUCCGCCUUUCGCAUUCAUUCA